rnacentral:rRNA from 1 species
CGCGUAGGCGGGUAUUUAAGUCAGAUGUGAAAGCUCCGGGCUUAACUUGGAGAGUGCAUUUGAAACUGGAUAUCUUGAGGGCAGGAGAGGAAAGUGGAAUUCCUAGUGUAGCGGUGGAAUGCGUAGAUAUUAGGAGGAACACCAGUGGCGAAGGCGACUUUCUGGACUGUACCUGACGCUGAGGCGCGAAAGCAUGGGGAGCAAACG